GUGCGCGUGUGCGGCUGGAAUUGGCGGUGGGUCGUCUCUUGAGAGUUUUCGAACUGCUGGCGGUGAGCGUUCUCGCAAGACCCGACUCCUCCAGCUGUGAAGCCAGUACAGGACCGGACUUCUUCAGCCUGUCGUCUACAGACGGCGCGCCCCGCAUUCCACGACCUUCCGGCCGCCAACACGCUCAUCCGCAUCCUGCUGCUCCCGCAUCCUGCCGCUCCCGCAUCCUGCUGCUCCGCGCGGCACUGUUGUUCAGGCACCCAGCAAGUUCUUGCUUUUCCAACCCAUGUCAAAAUCGAGGUGAAUGCAUGAGCAUGGAAUGGGACCAGUACACGUGCAGUUGUACCCGACAGGAUUCGAUGGUGAAAACUGUUCAACACCUAAAUUUCUAGCAAGAAUAAAGUUACUACUGAAACCAUCCGCCAAUACGGUGUGCCCCGUGCUUACCCACUUCAAGGGAUUCUGGGACAUUGUUGAUUAACAUUUCCUUCCUUUGAGGUCAGGCUGGUAUACAGGGUGAGUUCCAGGACAGCCAAGGUUACAUAGAGAAACCCUGUCUCGGAAAACCCACUCACACUCCAAACAAAUAAAAACCAUUCCCUUCCUGCGGAAUUCAGUCAUGAGAUAUGUUGCCAGCCAGAUGGCAUUUGAUUGACAGCCCACCAACUUACAAUGUGCACCACACCUACGAAAACUGGGCACCCUUCUCCAACCUCUCCUACUACAUCAGAGCCUCUCCUCCUGUAACAGAUGACUGCCUGACUCCCAUCCUGUGAAAGGGAAGAAGAGGGUUUCUGAUUCAAAAGAUUAUGGGGAAAAUUCU
rnacentral:lncRNA from 1 species